UGAGAAGUUUAGGGGAAAAAAAGAAAAAUCAUAAUUCAAACGACCGAAUUCAGGUCAGAAAUAAAUGAAACAUGUGGAAACUUUUGUGGAAAUGCUUGUGGAGCCAAUCUCAACUUCGAACGUCAGGGAUCCUUUUCCCCCAUCAUAUCCUGACCGAGGCCCCACAAAUCGAUGAAACCAUGGGAUACCAGUACUCCAAUCGACCAUCCGCGUAACACAGUUCACCGUUCACAGCAAUCGCAGAGAGACGGAGUGGAGCAGGGCGGGGGGAGGAAUGGUCUCUGCGUUGAACAAGGAAUGGGCAAGGUGGGAAAAGGGCGUUGCCACACUUGAAAGGAAAAAAAACGUUGAAAAUAAUGCGAUGAAAUGCACAUACCUAUGUGCAGAGGACCAACGUCCUCAAGGGAGAUAGAUGGAUUUGAAAGUGGCAUAUACAUCAGGCGGCUAAUCUCAGCCAUCUCUCCCUUCAAUCUGCCAUGGGCAAAAAUGGUGGCAACUAGCCGGUGCCCCUGAGCACCAUCGGCAAGCCCACCAGGAGGCGAAAGAAUGACGGCUUCUGCGAGGAUUAUUGCCGAAUCAAGCGCAAGCGGCCAUCAACGAGCGUUUCGUUUGACAGCACAAAUUUUCGCCGGUUUGUUUCACAAUAAGCGUGUCCUGGGAGUGGGGAAAGUCGGAGAAUCAUAGUGCAAGCACCGGAAAAUUUCCCAAUGAUACUUUCGCAGUCGAUGAAUGUACAGGGUCAAAAUAAUGAGAGAAUGGGAUAUGGAGGUUGUUGGCUUUUGUUCAGUACAUGCGAUGAGCUGGAACUUCUCCAGGGC
rnacentral:sRNA from 2 species